GACGAACGCUGGCGGCGUGCUUAACACAUGCAAGUCGAGCGGAAAGGCCACUUCGGUGGUACUCGAGCGGCGAACGGGUGAGUAACACGUGAGUAAUCUGCCCUUGGCUUUGGGAUAGCCACCGGAAACGGUGAUUAAUACCGGAUACGACCACUUCUCGCAUGGGAUGGUGGUGGAAAGUUUUUUCGGCCAGGGAUGUGCUCGCGGCCUAUCAGCUUGAUGGUGAGGUAAUGGCUCACCAUGGCUUCGACGGGUAGCCGGCCUGAGAGGGUGACCGGUCAAACUGGGACUGAGACACGGCCCAGACUCCUACGGGAGGCAGCAGUGGGGAAUAUUGGACAAUGGGCGGAAGCCUGAUCCAGCAACGCCGCGUGAGGGAUGACGGCCUUCGGGUUGUAAACCUCUUUCAGCAGGGACGAAGCGCAAGUGACGGUACCUGCAGAAGAAGCACCGGUCAACUACGUGCCAGCCGCCGCGGUAA
rnacentral:rRNA from 1 species